rnacentral:tRNA from 1 species
CCCUUGGUAGCUCAGUUGGAAGAGCGUGAGACUGUAAAUCUCAAGGUCAAUGGUUCGAACCCGUUCCGAGGGA